rnacentral:tRNA from 1 species
GGAGGGGUGGCAGAGUGGCUAAAUGCACCGGUCUUGAAAACCGGCGAGGGGUUAAACCCUCCGAGAGUUCGAAUCUCUCCUCCUCCGCCA